rnacentral:lncRNA from 1 species
AGCUAACCAACCAAACCCAAAGUUGUUGGAAAAACUGAGAAUUGACAUACUGUAAAAGAGAGGUAAUAAAUAACCAACGUUAUUACACUACACUUUAAGGAUACGUCAAGACACAAAGCAGUUGGAAUAAGUUGGCCUACAACUCUGGAGCUGAAAACGAUGCUAACGAACUAACUAACGUGCAGCCUAGCUUAAUUAGCGCACACCUGUGAGCUCUGCUUCUCCGAGCUGGGAGCUCUGGCUAAAGAAGAGGACAAUUAGCGAGAUGACUCACAUCCGGUCAGUGACUUGGAAUUUAAUAUAGCCAUGCCAUCAACGAGGAAAUACGAGGACAUACCUGCUUUAAGGUGUUCCAGAGAUAUCACGAUAUGAGAACAUGACGGGUAUCAUCGUUCAUGCUAUUAUAUACUGUGGACGGCCUGUUUGGCACUUCAAACCGCAGCACCCCUGCAUCUCGUCUGUUAACAGUUAAUGAUCUGUUAACAAGGGUCGGCGGUCGGUCAGGAAAACAAUCUUAGAUCUCUAAAUGGCCAUGACCUGGCCUUACCGUCUCAUGCAAAACCUUUGUGGACAUAAAGCUAUCGACAAAUAUGGUGGAAGAAGCAUCUGUGCAAGAAUCGUC